rnacentral:rRNA from 1 species
GACGAACGCUGGCGGCGUGCUUAACACAUGCAAGUCGAACGGAAAGGCCCUGCUUUUGUGGGGUGCUCGAGUGGCGAACGGGUGAGUAACGCGUGAGUAACCUGCCCUUGACUUUGGGAUAACCUCAGGCCACUGAGGCUAAUACCGGAUAGGAGCUCCUGCUGCAUGGUGGGGGUUGGAAAGUUUCGGCGGUUGGGGAUGGACACGCGGCUUAUCAGCUUGUUGGGUGGGUAGUGGCUUACCAAGACCAUGAAACGUAGCAUGCCUGCGAGGGUGACAGGCUACGUUGGGCCUGGGAUGCGGCCCGGACUCCUACGGUACGCAACGGUGGGGUAUAGUGUACUGUGCGCUGAGGCCUGAUGCGACAACGCCGCGUGCGGUAAGACGGCCUUCGGGUUGUAUUGCGCUUUCGCCUGUCACGAGGCGUGAGUGACGGUAAUGGGUGAAUAAGCACCGGCUAACUACGUG